UAGGGAAUCUUCCACAAUGGACGCAAGUCUGAUGGAGCAACGCCGCGUGAGUGAAGAAGGUUUUCGGAUCGUAAAGCUCUGUUGUUGGUGAAGAAGGAUAGAGGCAGUAACUGGUCUCUAUUUGACGGUAAUCAACCAGAAAGUCACGGCUAACUACGUGCCAGCAGCCGCGGUAAUACGUAGGUGGCAAGCGUUGUCCGGAUUUAUUGGGCGUAAAGCGAGCGCAGGCGGAAUGAUAAGUCUGAUGUGAAAGCCCACGGCUCAACCGUGGAACUGCAUCGGAAACUGUCAUUCUUGAGUGCAGAAGAGGAGAGUGGAAUUCCAUGUGUAGCGGUGGAAUGCGUAGAUAUAUGGAAGAACACCAGUGGCGAAGGCGGCUCUCUGGUCUGCAACUGACGCUGAGGCUCGAAAGCAUGGGUAGCGAACAGG
rnacentral:rRNA from 1 species